rnacentral:rRNA from 1 species
GGGGGGUGCAAGCGUUGUCCGGAAUUACUGGGCGUAAAGGGCGUGUAGGCGGCUUAUUAAGUCAGAUGUGAAAGCCCACGGCUUAACCGUGGAACUGCAUUUGAAACUGGUAGGCUUGAGUAUGAGAAGGGGUAGUGGAAUUCCCAGUGUAGCGGUGAAAUGCGUAGAUAUUGGGAAGAACACCAGUAGCGAAGGCGACUACCUGGCUCAUUACUGACGCUAAUGCGCGAAAGCGCGGGGAGCAAACAGGAUUAGAUACCCUGGUAGUCCGCGCCGUAAACGAUGGAUACUAGAUGUUGGUUACUUUUAAGUGAUCAGUGUCGCAGCUAACGCAUUAAGUAUCCCGCCUGGGGAUACGAUCGCAAGGUUG